ACCUCCCUCAAAGGCGCACUUGCACUGGCUGGCUUGCAAUUGCGUAACAACUGGAGGAACAUGAACUUGAAUGGAGAUGUUUGUCUUGCUGUUUCAGCAGCUAAGAUAUCAACAUUCAUACAAAU
rnacentral:snoRNA from 1 species